rnacentral:lncRNA from 1 species
UCUGCACUAAACAACCCCUGUAUACCUGAUCUACAACAAAUGGCUUCUCCACUGGCAUAGAUACCACCAGACUACAGUCUAAUUGGCUCAAACUCUUAGUGGUAUGCAUGAAAAAUGCAGGUGAUAGGUAUGAAUGCAUUGACCUAGGGUCAAUCAAUAUAUAUGCAUCAUGAUCAAAUAUGAACAAUGUAUCUAUCACCACAUUAGAGGUAUCCUAUGCCUCUUGUUUGGUCAUGGCAAACACCC